CAUUGUAUAAUUUGGAGAAAAUUUAAUUUGAAGUUUAAACCACUUCAUAAAUUGAUGCUUGCUCUGAUUCCCUUUGGUUUUUAGGUUAAAGUGGUGGACAGAACUGCUUGUGUUACGGCAAAUGCAGAAACUGUGGUUGUGAGCCCCCCUGGCGUUCAAGAAGCUAUUAAUGCUGAAAUUGCAAAAUAUCAUCAAGGCCGAUCUUUCAUACGACCUUCAGGUACAGAGGAUGUCAUACGUGUAUAUGCAGAGGCAUCCACACAAGAAGCAGCAGACAGCCUUGCUAACUCUGUAGCUGCAAUUGUGGACCGAUUUCUUGGUUUCAGCAGCUCCCAAUAAUUGCUUCUGACCUUUUUCUUUAACUGGACAUGACCAGUCUGAGCUCCAGAUUGCACAUCUCUGAUCAUUGCGGUUGCGGAUGCGCCUAAUGAUUUAGAUGUAUGAUGUGGUAUUUUACAAAUAUUGUAUUUUGCAAAGCCAAAAUGGAAUAUGAUUUGAGACA